GAAAACGCUGGCGGCGUGCCUACACAUGCAGUCGAGCGAACUGAUUGGAAGCUUGCUUCUAUGACGUUAGCGGCGGACGGGUGAGUAACUCGUGGGCAACCUGCCUGUAAGACUGGGAUAACUUCGGGAAACCGAAGCUAAUACCGGAUAGGAUCUUCUCCUUCAUGGGAGAUGAUUGAAAGAUGGUUUCGGCUAUCACUUACAGAUGGGCCCGCGGUGCAUUAGCUAGUUGGUGAGGUAACGGCUCACCAAGGCAACGAUGCAUAGCCGACCUGAGAGGGUGAUCGGCCACACUGGGACUGAGACACGGCCCACACUCCUACGGGAGGCAGCAGUAGGGAAUCUUCCGCAAUGGACGAAAGUCUGACGGAGCAACGCCGCGUGAGUGAUGAAGGCUUUCGGGUCGUAAAACUCUGUUGUUAGGGAAGAACAAGUACGAGAGUAACUGCUCGUACCUUGACGGUACCUAACCAAAAGGCCACGGCUAACUACGUGCCAGCAGCCGCGGUAAUACGUAAGUGGCAAGCGUUAUCCGGAAUUAUUGGGCGUAAAAGCGCGCGCAGGCGGGUUUCUUAAGUCUGAUGUGAAAUCCCACGGCUCAACCGUGGAGGGUCAUUGGAAACUGGGGGAACUUGAGUGCAAAGGAGAAAAGCGGAAUUCCACGUGUAGCGGAGGAAAUGCGUACAGAUGGGGAGAACACCUUUGGCGACGCGGGCUUCUUGGUCUGUACUGACACUGAGGCCCGAAAGCGUGGGGACCAACAGGAUUAAAUCCCCUGGUAAUCACU
rnacentral:rRNA from 2 species